rnacentral:rRNA from 1 species
AUUGAACGCUGGCGGCAUGCCUAACACAUGCAAGUCGAGCGGAGGAAGGGAGCUUGCUCCUGGAUUCAGCGGCGGACGGGUGAGUAAUGCCUAGGAAUCUGCCUGGUAGUGGGGGAUAACGUCCGGAAACGGGCGCUAAUACCGAAUACGUCCUGAUGGAGACAUGGGGGGAUCUUCGGACCUCACGCUAUCAGAUGAUCCUAGGUCGGAUUAGCUAGUUGGUGGGGUAAAGGCCUACCACGGCGCCGAUCCGUAACUGGUCUGAGAGGAUGAUCACUCACAUUAGAGGGUAGACGCGGUCCCGACGCCUACGAGAGGCAGCAGUGUGGAAUGUUGGGCAAUGGGCGGAAGCCUUGUCCAGUGAGGCCGCGUGUGUGAAGAAGGUCUUCGGAGUGUAAAGCACUUUAACUUGUGGGGAAGGGCAGUAAGUUAAUACCUUGCUGUUUUGACGUUACCUACAGAAUAAGCACCGGCUAACUUCGUG